rnacentral:rRNA from 1 species
UACGGAGGGUGCGAGCGUUGUCCGGAAUCACUGGGCGUAAAGGGCGCGUAGGUGGCGCGGGCAGUCAACGGUGAAAGUUCGGGGCUCAACCCUGAACUCGGCCGUCGAUACUCCCGGGCUUGAGCACUGUAGAGGCAGAUGGAAUUCCGGUGUAGCGGUGGAAUGCGUAGAGAUCCGGAAGAACACCGGUGGCGAAGGCGGUCUGCUGGGCAGUAGCUGACACUGAGGCGCGACAGCGUGGG